rnacentral:lncRNA from 1 species
CUCUAAGCUCUCAGUUCUGUAUGAUUCCGAGGUGCUCUUGGCGCCUCUUUCCGAUCUCACAUCCUUUGUUUAAUAACGAUAAAUCAAAUCUUAUAACUUUUUAAGUGAUGAGCAAAUCUGACCUUUAUCAUGCUCCCUUUUGCCUGUACUUUUGAGUCUUUUCAUGACUUGCCCCUCUGUUUCCUCGGCAUUUACCAUAGGGAUGGUAAAGUAGUAAGCUAAGUUGCUCUGACUGAUGAGUUGGGCCUGUAUUAUGUGGAUGGCGAAUGGGCUUUUAAAUGAUGGGCUGUCAUCGUAUACUUGGCCCUUGAUAGAUGUAGAUAAGCCCAGCGAUCAUCCUUUUGCCCCUUUACCGUCUCGCCGGUUAUUACCUAACCGUUGAGAGGGUAAACUUCGAGAAUAAUUAAUGAUCGCGCCGCUCCAAGAUAAAACUGUUCAGAUCAACGCCCUGCCUCAUAAUUGCCUUUCUUUUCGAAUUCCUUCUGUCUUUUGAAGAACUAGCUCUUGUCUGCUCUCUGUCUUCCUGCAACUCUUUGUACGGUUUUUCAUCCCAUCGUGUUCUCAGGUACGCUUCCUUGUUCUUCCAUGGCAAGUUCAAAUCUUCCUGAUGUUUUUGACCUUGAGUCGCAUAUUACACCUUCCAACAUAACUAAUCACAUUUCCCGGAGGCUUGUAUCUUAUUCGAGCACCUCUUCCAAAUGAGAGGAUAGUUCUUCCUUACCCUCGUCCUCCUGGUUUGGUGGAUCCCCAAGAGGUUCGUAGCAUAGUGUUUUUCCUGAAGCAGAGAGAAUUUGGUUUACCGUUUCCUUUUACCCCUUUCUUUGUCGAGGUCUUUGAAUACUUUGGGGUAACUCCUCGAAUGUUAUCCCCAAAUUCCAUUUUAUUCAUGUCCUGUUUCGAGUCUAUCUGUCUGGGUUGGGGUUUCGCACCUACGGCCUGUCUGUUUGUCACUUUUUUCCGCCUGGUUAGGGCGAAGCAAAACUUCUAUUACUUUUCCCCCCGUAAUGGGCUGUCUCUUCUUACGGGCUACAAGGAUUCUAUAAAGGGAUGGGUAGAGAAUUUCCUUGUGGCGGAGUUAAAACUAGGGUCCUGCCGAUCGUGGGAUGUGGACCUAAGGUGGGGGGAGAUCUUUCCGGGCUGCAACGAUCUGCCCGAAUUGAGUCUUAUUGAGCAGGUCGGGCUGCUUCGACUGACU